GACGUGUCAGACUGGGUUCACUAACAAUGAACCGGUUCUGACCUCAGGCCCCCCCUCUCCCCGAAGCCCGCAAUCCCUCCCUUCUCGAAUUCGAAAACUCCAUUCUCCCUCUCCCCAAAGCCCUCAAUCCCUCCCUUCUUUGCCGUCCCGAUUUCAUCCUAUAUCGUUGUUCUCGUGAUAAAAAUGGAUCCCCCGCGCGUCGUUAAAAAGCUAACCAUAUUAGUAGUUUUAUACAAAGAUAGCUCGAUAAAAGUGCAUAGAGCGGACCAGAAGAUAGAUCGAUAAAAGCUUCUUCAAGGCUUUUUAAUGAUCUUCUACGUGGCGUUUACUUAUACCUCAAAAGGAUAAAAGGUAGAGCUUCCCCACUUCAUCUUCUCUCUGGACGUCCCGUGAUCCUUUCUCUCUUGCAUUCAUACACAAAAAUCUGCACCAGAAUCCAGGAUAAUGUCGAAGAGAAACCACACCUGAUUUCUUAUCUGCAGCCACAUCAUGGGAGAAGCAAUAUGUGAAUUCUUCGUAUGGGUAGACAUACUUCAAAUUGAUAGACGAGAAAAUUUUCACAAGGGAAUAUAGAGUUCGGAAUAGGGAGGAUGAUGUCUUGUUGCGCGAGUAUGAACCUCA